CCCACAAACACUGGAACAAUACAUAGAAAAUUAGUGUGGCCCCUAGACAAGGAUGACAUGUAAAUUUGUGAAGUGUUCCAUAUUAAA
rnacentral:snRNA from 1 species